rnacentral:rRNA from 1 species
AAUCUGCCCUCCACUUUGGGAUAGCCACCGGAAACGGUGAUUAAUACCGGAUAUGACCUUUGCCCGCAUGGGUGUUGGUGGAAAGUUUUUCGGUGGGGGAUGUGCUCGCGGCCUAUCAGCUUGAUGGUGGGGUAAUGGCCUACCAUGGCUUCGACGGGUAGCCGGCCUGAGAGGGUGACCGGCCACACUGGGACUGAGACACGGCCCAAACUCCUACGGGAGGCAGCAGUGGGGAAUAUUGGACAAUGGGCGGAAGCCUGAUCCAGCAACGCCGCGUGAGGGAUGACUGCCUUCGGGUUGUAAACCUCUUUCAGCACAGACGAAGCGAAAGUGACGGUAUGUGCAGAAAAAGCACCGGCCAACUACGUGCCAGCAGCCGCGGUAAUACGUAGGGUGCGAGCGUUGUCCGGAAUUAUUGGGCGUAAAGGGCUCGUAGGCGGUUUGUCGCGUCGGGAGUGAAAACACACAGCUUAACUGUGUGCUUGCUUCCGAUACGGGCAGACUAGAGGUAUGCAGGGGAGAACGGAAUUCCUGGUGUAGCGGUGAAAUGCGCAGAUAUCAGGAGGAACACCGGUGGCGAAAGCGGUUCUCUGGGCAUUACCUGACGCUGAGGAACGAAAGUGUGGGGAGCCAACAGGAUUAGAUACCCUGGUAGUCCACACCGUAAACGUUGGGCGCU